AGCAGCCGCGGUAAUUCCAGCUCCAAUAGCGUAUAUUAAAGUUGUUGCAGUUAAAAAGCUCGUAGUUGAAUUUCGGGAUCAAUUUGCUGGUCGUGCCUAUGGUACGUACUGGUAACAUUGGUUUCUCCCUUCUGACGAACCAUGAUGUCAUUUAUUUGGUGUCGUGGAGAAUCAGGACUGUUACUUUGAAAAAAUUAGAGUGUUUAAAGCAGGCAUAUGCCUGAAUACAUUAGCAUGGAAUAAUGAAAUAGGACGUUCAACCUUAUUUUGUUGGUUUCUAAGAUUGACGUAAUGAUUAAUAGGGAUAGUUGGGGGCAUUAGUAUUCAAUUGUCAGAGGUGAAAUUCUUGGAUUUAUUGAAGACUAACUACUGCGAAAGCAUUUGCCAAGGAUGUUUUCAUUAAUCAAGAACGAAAGUUAGGGGAUCGAAGACGAUCAGAUACCGUCGUAGUCUUAACCAUAAACUAUGCCGACUAGGGAUCGGAUGAUGUUAAUUUUUAAUGACUCAUUC
rnacentral:rRNA from 1 species